GGGCCCUCUUCCAGGAGAGCUCGGCAUGUCUAUCUUCCCUGGGCUCACAGAAAGGAGUGGGACCCAACCCCGAGUGUGCACAAAGUUAAGCUCCCACUAGCUGUGCAGACAACCUCCCUAGCCCUGGACUGAGAAGGGGCCAAGCGCAAACAGCCAUAUUUUGCCCGCACAGGUACGGAAUUCAGUCAGCUCUCUCAAUGAAGUCGUGACAGGUCAACUCCAGGCUCCUCAGUGCUCUGGGGUUCACCUCGGGCCACUGCACCUUUGAAACGUGGCUGUGGACUCCUCUAGGGUGCUCACUUUCACGGCCCAUUUCAUUCAGACACUGCAGGCCCCUACCGUGGUGUCAAUACCCAGGACACCCCUGCUGGCAUCCUCUGAGAUGCUGCUGCAGCUGCUGUGAUCUGAGAACAGCCAUGCACAGGCAUCAAAGGGAGGACUUCUCAAGUCUCCUCCAGGGGCAGUGACUACAGCUUUGAAAGACGUUGCACUGAAUCCUGGCUUUCAAAAACUGACAAAUACCUGGCCGGGUGCAGUGGCUCACGCCUGUAAUCCCAGCACUUUGGGAGGCCGAGGCUGGUGGAUCACGAGGUCAGGAGAUUGAGACCAUCCUGGCUAACACGGUGAAGCCCUGACUCUACUAAAAACGCAAAAAAUUAGCCUGGUGUGUUGGCGGACACCUGUGGCCCCAGCUACUCGAGAGACUGAGGCAGGAGAAUGGCGUGAACCUGGGAGGUGGAGCUUGCACUGAGCCGAGAUCACACCACUGCACUCCAGCCUGGGCGACAGAGCAAGACUCCAUCUCAAAAAAGAAAAAAUAAAUAAAAAGUGGAAAACACCCCAUAUCUGCCCUGGCUCCGGCUAUCUCCAUGGAGUGGACAGAGGUUGAGAAAAGCUCACUGUGGAGGCAUAGAAGGCCAGGCCAGGCCGGGCCGGGCCGGGCCUUUGCUCAGCAGAUGAGCAAGAGGGUCAGCCACCCUAGUGAAGAAGCCCAUGUUUGCUAUGUUACUGAUGAUACCCACAUAAAUUUCUAUUUGCCUCCCACACAGACCUGGGAUCUAUGUUUGAGCAAGCGACUCAUACCAACAGUCCCUCCAUGCCAUCAUUUCCCUGACCUCCCCCAGAAAAGCCAGGCCAGGCAGCGUCCCCACACGGGCACUGGGGCCCAGGAAGAUCCUGGUCCUGCCCCUCUUCUCUCUCGUCCCUGCAGCACCCUGGCUUGCUGUGGAAGCCCAGCAGUGCUGGCUGAACCCACGUUCACCUGGGGCAUUCAGGAGAAGCCUCUGUGCAGAAAUCAACUGGGAAGUAGGAUUGUGUGUGCUGGCAGGUCACUCGAAUGGAUUUGCAGAACUCAGUUUUCAACACAGCCACGGCGUGUCCAGACGCUCAUGGAGAAGGCCAGGGCGUGGGAACCCACGGAGCCCCGACAAAGCAGACUCGGAGCUGAGUGGCGCAGUUAG
rnacentral:lncRNA from 1 species